rnacentral:snRNA from 1 species
UUCCACUGGAAGCUCCGUCGU